GUCAAAGGUUCUCCAUCUGUCUCUGUGAUCAUCUCUGGGAAUAGAGGUUUUCUUCUUCUCACCCUGGGGGUAAAGGGUCUUCAUCAAUCUCAGCUCUCUCUCUGUUCAUGCUUCUCAUGGGAUCACAGCUACUCCAACAUCUGCUUGACUUCAUCGGUAGAUGCCUCUGCUCACAUCUUCAUGUCCCCAUAGUUUCUCAUUAAUAAAAGGGGAUAUUUCAGUGUAUCAUAGUCGAUCUCCAUGGCCUUACCAAAAGUGCUUUCAGCCCCACUGCUAGGGCAUCUCCUCAUUCUCUUUCCGUCUGAAACUUGACUCCUUCUUCACUGACCUUGGCGUCUUCCUGAUAUAUUUUCUGUGCCUUCACUCUAUCUUUCCUCUCCCUGCAGAGAGGAUCAAAGUCUGCAGGUCUCAUCUGCACAGUGAAAGGGUCAGUAUCUCACCGAGGCCUGCAGAAGGUUAUGGGCAGUGGUGGAAGCAGUCUCAGUGAUGGAUUUCAGGCCGUGCUGGGCCCCUCCCUCUGCCCGGCAGCCGCUGGGGCCACAGAGGGGGCCUGGCCCAUCCAGGAGCCGCUUCCAGGGCCCGGCAAAGCCCGUCUCAGCGUGGGCUGGCGGCGGGGGCAGGGCUUGGUGUCAGCAGGGUGUCAGCAGCUGUGAACCAGCCCAGCCUCGGCCGGGGCCCUGCGGCCUCCCGUCCCCCGUCCAGCCACGGCUGGGGCCCAGCCCGGCCCUGCCUGACCACACAGCCCGCAGCGGAGCAGGGCCGGAGAUUUCCCAGAAGUUCCUCUAAUAUCCAAGCUGUGUAGCAAUCUCCACAGAUUCUCAUGCUGCUUUCACAAAAAUUCCAUUGACAAUGUUCUCCCCAGAAAGCCUUUGGCAAGAUCAAAAGAAUUCAGCAGAUUCAAAAUCAACUGAAUCAGGGUAAUAUGCAGGAAAAGCCACUGAAGAAAAAGUUCUCUGCAACCAGGCAGUGAUCCUACACCUCUUCAAUACAAAUAUUUCACUUAGACUGCAAAAGGAUAGUUUUACCCUGCAUCUUCAGGGGCAGACUAGAUGACUUAAUGAAGAUCUUCUCCUUCUAAAACUUCUGUGGUUCUCAUUCUGGUUUGCUAAGGCAUUUUAAUCUCAACUGUCUUCUAAAUGAGGGAUUCAUGAAUAUGAGAACUUAAAAGAAUAAACAUGACAAGUCAUGGCAAGAUUUUGAAAAGCCUUAUCUGCUGUUGACCUCUAGAUUUGAUAAAAUGAAGAAAUAAUUUUUUUGUUUGUUUUUUUUGUUUUCAAAUAAAUAGCUGAUUUAUUUUGACCUUUGGUCUAAAAAUCAAUGUUAGAUUUUCAAUAUUUGCAGCAUGCCCUGAUGUUUAAUAAGAGUAGACAGAGUUUGAGAGGGGAAAUGCAAAUCUAGAAAUGAAAAAUUUGCUCCUGGUUAAUUUAUAUGGCAAAACAAAGUAUUAGUUCUUUGAUUUGUCAAUUUAUCAUUGUGUUGAAAAAGUGGUAGCUAAAUAUUUCAGGUAGAGUCUGAGAGAGCAAGAGCUGCGCACACUGAACAAGAACACAUAAGUGUGGAUUAGUUGAAUGAACAUAAUUCAUAGAAGACAGAGACUAAUCUGGGAGGGUAUAAUCUUUUCCCAUCCAAUGAGAUGGUGUAGCAUUAAGUGGCUGAGAGCAGAGAUGCAAUUUUUGGGUAAACCAAUUUUUUUUGGGGUAAACCUGUGCUGUGCUGCUAUAGGAAAAGGCACUUACCAGAACAGUUGUGAAUAAUUUUUAAAUUGUGAAUAAUUAUAAAACCAAUAAGUGACCUGAAUAAUAAUUAAUCCAACAGAAAGGAUAUGUUUUGUUCAAAAAUAUUGUAAUUUCCAGAAACCAUUUGGUGUAGCUGGUUUCUGAUUUUAGUUCCUCCAUUUCUUUCUGUCAUUUUUCCAUUCCACCAGUGAAGAAAGGAAAAGUAAACUAAA